CCUACGGGUGGCAGCAGUGAGGAAUAUUGGUCAAUGGACGAGAGUCUGAACCAGCCAAGUAGCGUGAAGGAUGACUGCCCUAUGGGUUGUAAACUUCUUUUAUAUGGGAAUAAAAUGUUCCACGUGUGGGAUUUUGUAUGUACCAUAUGAAUAAGGAUCGGCUAACUCCGUGCCAGCAGCCGCGGUAAUACGGAGGAUCCGAGCGUUAUCCGGAUUUAUUGGGUUUAAAGGGAGCGUAGGUGGAUUGUUAAGUCAGUUGUGAAAGUUUGUGGCUCAACCGUAAAAUUGCAGUUGAAACUGGCAGUCUUGAGUACAGUAGCGGUGGGCGGAAUUCGUGGUGUAGCGGUGAAAUGCUUAGAUAUCACGAAGAACUCCGAUUGCGAAGGCAGUUCACUGGACUGCAACUGACACUGAGGCUCGAAAGUGUGGGUAUCAAACAGGAUUAGAUACCCGAGUAGUC
rnacentral:rRNA from 1 species